rnacentral:rRNA from 1 species
CCCUUAGAUGUUCUGGGCCGCACUCGCGCUACACUGACGAUGGCAACGAGUUUUUCCUUCGCCGAAAGGUGUGGGUAAUCUUUUGAAACAUCGUCGUGCUGGGGAUAGAUCAUUGCAAUUUUUGAUCUUGAACGAGGAAUUCCUAGUAAGCGCGAGUCAUCAGCUCGCGUUGAUUACGUCCCUGCCCUUUGUACACACCGCCCGUCGCUACUACCGAUUGAAUGGUUUAGUGAGGACUCCUGAUUGGCGCCGCCGCCCCGGCAACGGAGCAGCGGACUGCCGAAAAGUUGUUCAAACUUGAUCAUUUAGAGGAAGUAAAAGUCGUAACA